AGCUCCAAUAGCGUAUAUUAAAGCUGUUGCAGUUAAAAAGCUCGUAGUCGGAUUUCGGGCGGCGGCCAAUGGUUCGGUUCCGUGCCGAUACUGCUGGUCGCGGCCUCCACGCCGGUCGUCUUUCGGUGCUCUUAGUUGAGUGCCUUAAGUAGCCGGAGCGUUUACUUUGAAAAAAUUAGAGUGUUCAAGGCAGGCCAAAAGCCUGAAUGAUGGUGCAUGGAAUAAUGGAAUAGGAUCUCGGUUCUAUUUUGUUGGUCUUCGGAACUGGAGGUAAUGAUUAAUAGGGACGGACGGGGGCAUUCGUAUUGCGGCGUUAGAGGUGAAAUUCUUGGAUCGUCGCAAGACGGACUACUGCGAAAGCAUUUGCCAAGAAUGUUUUCAUUGAUCAAGAACGAAAGUA
rnacentral:rRNA from 1 species